UACAGAGGGUGCAAGCGUUAAUCGGAAUUACUGGGCGUAAAGCGUGCGCAGGCGGCUAUGCAAGACAGAUGUGAAAUCCCCGGGCUCAACCUGGGAACUGCAUUUGUGACUGCAUGGCUAGAGUACGGUAGAGGGGGAUGGAAUUCCGCGUGUAGCAGUGAAAUGCGUAGAUAUCGAGAGGAACACCGGUGGCGAAGGCGAGUCCCUGGACAAUCCCUGACACUGAGGCACGAAAGCUAGGGGAGCAAACAGG
rnacentral:rRNA from 1 species